UUACAGAAGGAAAACACAGGGGAAGGGAGAGGUCUUGUUGACUUUGAGAAAAUCAAGAGGAAUGGGCCCAGUACCAGAAAGCCCCCCGGCCCCAGGCUGUGCCCACCU
rnacentral:lncRNA from 1 species